UUUUACAUCGAUUGUUUUGUUCGUCGCUAGUGUGAUUUCCCUGGAUCUUGGUGGAGUUAAAUGCUGAUACGUUCCUCCAAACACGCCUGAUAUCGACAUGGAGUCUGCUGAAAUGUCGCUGAGGAGUUCAUCCUGUAUUCAGAUGGCACAUCAGAAAGGAAACAGAGGGCUGGUUAAUGGUUAACUGGGACGAUGGAGCUCUCCUCACGUACGCACAACCAGCUGCUGGCUGGAGUUUGAACUGCCGUCAUGUGAGACACACCAGGUGCGAGCUGAUGACACAUAAACAUGGAGUCAUGUUAUUGUGUAGGUUCUAAUGUAUCUGAGUUCGUAUGAACCCGAACAUGCGGUCCUCCUUCUUCCUCCUUCCUCCUCCUCCUCCUCCUUCCUCCUCCUCCUCCUUCCUCCUCCUCCUCCCUCUCAUGGUAAACAUCACAUCCAGCACGUCUCACUUGUCUCCCUCACAGGACUUUCCAACAACCAGCCACAAGACCGGAAGUCUCACUGCGUGCCUUCAAAAUAAAGGCUUGACUCGCUUUUCAGUCGGAUUGUUGCCUCGUGAGAUCUGUGGUUUAAUUAAUGAAGAGUAGAUGUCUAAUAAAGAGCCAAAUAAUUAUUUUUAUCACCAACUAUUACUUAAAGAAAUUAUUUAGUUCAUUAAAUAUUAUAAAAUAGUGAGAAAUGUCAGUUAUAAUUUGUAGAAUCUAAAUCUAAUGAACUCCAGAGAUGUAAAUAAAAAAAACAAGUAGAUAAAUGAAUAUAGAGGAGGAGAAUUCACAAAGAAAAUAUUAAUAAAUAUUUAUGAAAGUGUACAUGAUAGAUAUUUAAAGAUAAAUAAAUUAAAGAGCCGUACAUUUUGUGCAGUUAUGUGGAAAAUUCUGACCAAUAAUGAAAUCUUCAAAUUGCAUGUUUGUCCCUGUGGAUGGUUCCAAAACUCAAAGAUAUUCAAUUUAAUGUGACAUAUAUUUUGGUAUUUUUGCAUCACUAAUUAAUUAAUUCUCUGCCAAUCAGUAUAUCAGUCAUUUAGUUGCAGCACUAAAUAAGCAACUUGUUAAAAGUGGACAAUGACAGUCGAGACUAUGGGCUCUGAUUUAGCAUGAAAAAUAAAAUGAUUUAUUCAUUCAUUUAUUUUUCAUCCCUUUAUUUCAUUAUAACUUUGCUCCCCUAAAAAUAGAGAUUUCAUACCGUUACACAUUUAACUUCCACCAACUACUAACACCAUAAUACAUGGUUAUUUAUUUUUUUGUAUUAUUUAACCAGGAAGCGCCACUGAGAUCUAAAAACUAUUUUACAACAGAAACCUGUCCGAGGUAGCAGCCUAUUUAAAACACAUUAAUCCACAAUAAAACAACAACUAUUCAAACACAGUGGCCUCUCACGGAAAACAAGCGCACGUCUGUCACCACAUUUUUUAUGAUGCCCUUAAAUUCAUCAGUGGAUAUAUGGGUUUGUAAUUUUAUGUUUUUGGAGAUUGUUCCAUGCCCAUAUAGUUUUCCCAGAUCUGUUCACAUACAGGGUUCAUUAAAAAGCAACCACCUGGAGCAGCAUAGCUGGAAACUAAAAAUAUAAACAUAUCAGUGCUGCUGUCUGCGAGUGGUCAGUGACGUCCAACCCACCAAAUCAUAAAGAUACAGUGAUGAGUCAGGGACUGUGCACAUGUGAUACAUAAAAUGGAGGAUGCAUACAUACAGAAUACAGAAAAGUAGCGUCCACGAGUUUUUUCUUAGCACUGAAAGUAAAACAAGUCUUAUGUUCAUUACAUGUUAUAUUGCAAGUCAUUUUUCAA